UACGAAGGGUGCUAGCGUUGCUCGGAAUCACUGGGCGUAAAGCGCACGUAGGCGGAUCUUUAAGUCAGGGGUGAAAUCCCGGAGCUCAACUCCGGAACUGCCUUUGAUACUGGGGAUCUUGAGUUCGAGAGAGGUGAGUGGAACUGCGAGUGUAGAGGUGAAAUUCGUAGAUAUUCGCAAGAACACCAGUGGCGAAGGCGGCUCACUGGCUCGAUACUGACGCUGAGGUGCGAAAGCGUGGGGAGCAAACAGG
rnacentral:rRNA from 1 species